GCUCAGUUAGUAGAAAUGAGACUCUUAAUCUCAGGGUUGUGAGUUCAAGCCCCACAUUGGGCA
rnacentral:tRNA from 1 species